rnacentral:lncRNA from 1 species
GGCGAGUGAUGUCCCUCCUUCUGGUGAACCCCAGAAGAAGAAGAAGAAGAAGAGGACAAAGAAGAAGUCCGUUAACGAGGAGUCGGAGAAUCUCGAGGGACCGACCGAAACUGAGGGGGGAGACGUCCAAGAAGAGGAACUUCGUCCCGAGGAAGAGGUUCUCGAAGAUGGGGCCCUUGGAGAAGAAGACGACGAGGAGGAGGCCGUCGACAGG